GUUUUAAUAAUUUAAUAAUAAAAUAUUGGUCUUGUAAACCAAAGAUAAGGAAAACUUUUAAAACU
rnacentral:tRNA from 1 species